rnacentral:rRNA from 1 species
CCAAUAGCGUAUAUUUAAGUUGUUGCAGUUAAAAAGCUCGUAGUUGAAUUUCGGGAUCAAUAUAUUGGUCAUGCUUAGGUAUGUACUGGUAUUAUUGAUUUCUCCCUUCUGAAGAACCAUGAUGUCAUUAAUUUGAUGUCGUGGGGAAUCAGGACUGUUACUUUGAAAAAAUUAGAGUGUUUAAAGCAGGCUUUCGCUUGAAUACAUUAGCAUGGAAUAAUGAAAUAGGACGUUUGAUUCUAUUUUGUUGGUUUCUAGGAUCGACGUAAUGAUUAAUAGGGAUAGUUGGGGGCAUUAGUAUUCAAUUGUCAGAGGUGAAAUUCUUGGAUUUAUUGAAGACUAACUACUGCGAAAGCAUUUGCCAAGGAUGUUUUCAUUAAUCAAGAACGAAAGUUAGGGGAUCGAAGACGAUCAGAUACCGUCGUAGUCUUAACCAUAAACUAUGCCGACUAGGGAUCGGAUGAUGUUAAUUUUUUAAUGACUCAUUCGGCGCCUUACG